rnacentral:tRNA from 1 species
GUUGUGGCUUAGUGGUAGAGUGCUUGCCUCACAUGUGUGAGGCACUGGGUUUGAUUCUCAGCACCACA